rnacentral:rRNA from 1 species
CACGUAGGGGACGAGCGUUGUCCGGAUUCAUUGGGCGUAAAGCGCGUGUAGGCGGUCCGGUAAGUCCGCUGUGAAAGUCGGGGGCUCAACCCUCGGAUGCCGGUGGAUACUGUCGGGCUUGAGUACGGAAGAGGCGAGUGGAAUUCCUGGUGUAGCGGUGAAAUGCGGCAGAUAUCAGAAGAACACCCGUGGCGAAAGGCGGCUCUCUGGAAACGGUACUGACGCUGAGACGCGAAAGCCGUUGGGGAGGCGAAACAGGG